CCUACGGGAGGCAGCAGUGAGGAAUAUUGGUCAAUGGGCGCGAGCCUGAACCAGCCAAGUCGCGUGAGGGAUGACGGCCCUACGGAUUGUAAACUUCUUUUAUAAGGGAAUAAAGUGUGGUACGUGUCCCAUUUUGUAUGUACCUUAUGAAUAAGGAUCGGCUAACUCCGUGCCAGCAGCCGCGGUAAUACGGAGGGGCCCAGCGUUGUCCGGAGUUAUUGGGUGUAAAGGGCGUGUAGCCGGGCUUGCAAGUCAGAUGUGAAAUUUGGGGGCUCAACCCCCGUACUGCAUUUGAAACUGGUGGUCUUGAGUAUGGGAGAGGCAGGCGGAAUGCGUGGUGUAGCGGUGAAAUGCGUAGAUAUUAGGAAGAACACCGGUGGCGAAGGCAGCCUGCUGGACCCCAACUGACGGUGAGGCGCGAAAGCGUGGGGAGCGAACAGGAUUAGAUACCCGUGUAGUC
rnacentral:rRNA from 1 species